UACAGAGGGUGCAAGCGUUGUUCGGAAUUAUUGGGCGUAAAGGGCGCGUAGGCGGUGCGGUAAGUCUGCAGUGAAAUCUCUGGGCUCAACUCAGAGUCUGCUGUAGAAACUGCCGUGCUUGAGUGUGGGAGAGGUGAGUGGAAUUCCCGGUGUAGCGGUGAAAUGCGUAGAUAUCGCUUGGAACGCCAAAGGUGAAAACAGGUCGCUGGGAGUGCGCCGA
rnacentral:rRNA from 1 species